rnacentral:rRNA from 1 species
GACGAACGCUGGCGGCGUGCCUAAUACAUGCAAGUAGAACGCACAGUUUAUACCGUAGCUUGCUACACCAUAGACUGUGAGUUGCGAACGGGUGAGUAACGCGUAGGUAACCUGCCUGGUAGCGGGGGAUAACUAUUGGAAACGAUAGCUAAUACCGCAUAAUAUUAAUUAUUGCAUGAUAAUUAAUUGAAAGGUGCAAUUGCACCACUACCAGAUGGACCUGCGUUGUAUUAGCUAGUAGGUGAGGUAACGGCUCACCUAGGCGACGAUACAUAGCCGACCUGAGAGGGUGAUCGGCCACACUGGGACUGAGACACGGCCCAGACUCCUACGGGAGGCAGCAGUAGGGAAUCUUCGGCAAUGGACGAAAGUCUGACCGAGCAACGCCGCGUGAGUGAAGAAGGUUUUCGGAUCGUAAAGCUCUGUUGUAAGUGAAGAACGGGUGUGAGAGUGGAAAGUUCACACUGUGACGGUAUCUUACCAGAAAGGGACGGCUAACUACGUG